UGCGGGGUUGCCGGAGUGGUCAAACGGGUUAGGCUUAGGACCUAAUGGCUUAGUGCCUGCGCGAGUUCGAAACUCGUACCCCGCAU
rnacentral:tRNA from 1 species